rnacentral:rRNA from 1 species
CAAUAGCGUAUAUUAAAGUUGUUGCAGUUAGAAAGCUCGUAGUUGGAUUUCGGGGUGGCCUGCCUGGUCCACCGCAAGGUGAGUACUGGUCAGCCGCCCUUCCUCUCGAAAGCCCCGACUGCUCUUCAUUGCAGUGGUCGGGUAGUUCGGGACGUUUACUUUGAAAAAAUUAGAGUGUUCAAGGCAGGCUCUCGCCUGAAUACAUUAGCAUGGAAUAAUGGAAGAGGACCUCGGUCCUAUUUUGUUGGUUUCUAGGGCCGAAGUAAUGAUUAAGAGGGACAGUUGGGGGCAUUCGUAUUUAAUUGUCAGAGGUGAAAUUCUUGGAUUUAUGAAAGACGAACUAGUGCGAAAGCAUUUGCCAAGGAUGUUUUCAUUAA